rnacentral:snRNA from 1 species
AGAUGUGAGGGUCAAUCUGGCUGCGACAUCUGUCACCCCAUUGAUCGCCAGGGUUGAUUCGGCUGAUCUGGCUGGCUAGGUGGGUGUUCCCUUCCUCCCUCACCGCUCCAUGUGCGUCCCUCCCGAAGCUGUGCGCUUGGUUGAAGAGGACGACCAUCCCCUAUAGAGGAGGAUCAUUCUUUGGUCAAGGGUAUACAAGUAGCUGCGCUCCCCUACUAGAACCUCCAAACAAGCUCUCAAGGGUAAUAGUGAUUUUCAGUUCUGCCCAUGGUAAUUAUCCUCAGAUAUUACCUUCACACCAGUGCCCACUUGACUUUCAGAAGGACUAUCU